rnacentral:rRNA from 1 species
AAUUUUGCGCAAUGGGCGAAAGCCUGACGCAGCAACGCCGCGUGAAUGAUGAAGCCCUUCGGGGUGUAAAGUUCUGUCAGUGGGGACGAAACUUGACGGUACCCACAGAGGAAGCACCGGCUAACUCCGUGCCAGCAGCCGCGGUAAUACGGGGGGUGCAAGCGUUGUCCGGAAUCAUUGGGCGUAAAGAGUUCGUAGGCGGUAUGUAAAGUCUGGUGUUAAAUCCCGAAGCUCAACUUCGGUCCGGCACCGGAUACUUGCAAACUUGAAUGUGGUAGAGGUAAAGGGAAUUCCUGGUGUAGCGGUGAAAUGCGUAGAUAUCAGGAGGAACAUCGGUGGCGUAAGCGCUUUACUGGGCCAAUAUUGACGCUGAGGAACGAAAGCCGGGGUAGCAAAUGGG